AAGACUAUAGACCUGCGGAGUACCUGCGGAGGGAUCAUUACAAGUAAUAAGUACCCAGUACCUAUUAUAAACCCAUCCGUGUAUCUUACCCGUUGCUUCCGUGGCGCGGCGCACCGCCCUGGCGGGGCUCCCCCACGGGAGGUACACACCAAAAACAUUGCAUUGCCAUGAUAUCUGUCUGAAAUGAAAACAACAAAAGUUAAAACUUUCAACAAUGGAUCUCUAGAUCGGAAGAGCACA
rnacentral:misc_RNA from 1 species